CAAUUUUUUUCUUCUACGAUUCUUCCCCUUCCCCUCUUUUGCCCUUUGUCACCUCUUCUCCUCAUCAAUCUCUAGACCAGUUAUUGAUGAUCCAACACCAUCUAUUCUGAUACCAACCAGUUAACCCACCACCCGACAACGGAGAGGAGAGGCUUAUCGGUAGAAGAAAUGGUGUGGUAGUCAUCAUCAAAUCGAGAAGAAGAAGGGAGAAGGGUCGUUGAAGACGGAGAUUUGACCACCACCACGAAGCAAACAGAACCAGAUCUCGAUCUGUUGCCCAACGAAACCCUCGAUCCCGCCUGAAACCGAACUCCCCUCCUAGCCACCACAAAAGACAGAAAAAGAAAUCCGGCGACAGAAGAAGAGUACUAAAGAGACAGUGGCGGAGCAAAAGGCUUGUGCUGCGAGUUGAGUGUAGCCGGAAACGGAGGCUCGUCGGCGAGCGAACGGAAUCUAUGGCGGCGGCUGAGAUGAAUUAGGAUUUUUUUUUUUGUUGAUUUUAGCGUCCGGUUCAACCGGCAUUUUGUAACCAAUUCAAUUCUGUAGCUCUUAACCAAUUACCGGUUUGGGUUGGUUAUUAAUAUCAAUAUAUAUUAUUUUGUUUAAAAAAUUCUGUCACGAAAUAUAUAU
rnacentral:lncRNA from 1 species